UACGGAGGGAGCUAGCGUUAUUCGGAAUUACUGGGCGUAAAGCGCACGUAGGCGGCUUUGUAAGUCAGAGGUGAAAGCCCAGAGCUCAACUCUGGAAUUGCCUUUUAGACUGCAUCGCUUGAAUCAUGGAGAGGUCAGUGGAAUUCCGAGUGUAGAGGUGAAAUUCGUAGAUAUUCGGAAGAACACCAGUGGCGAAGGCGGCUUACUGGUCCGGUUCUGACGCUGAGGCGCGAAAGCGUGGGGAGCAAACAGG
rnacentral:rRNA from 1 species